AUGGCCACUGCUGAUGUCCAGAACCCGGCGGUCGCGCUGACGGAGGAGGCGCCCGCGGUGGAGACACCCCUGGUCGCCGAGGAGGUCGCGAAGACGGAGGAGGCCCCCACGCCGGCGGUGGCCGAAGUCGAAGCGCCUGCUGCCCCCGUCGAGGUUGAGGAGACUAAGGAGGAGGCGCCGGCCGCCGCUGAGACGGAGGAGACCAAGGAGCCCGAGCCCGCAGCUGCGGCCGAGCCGGAGGCCGAGGCGCCAGCCGUGGUCGAGACAGAGACCAAGGAGGCCGUGGCUGAGGCAGAGCCGGCGGUGGUCGAGGAGGUGAAGGAGGAGGCGGCGCCUGCUGCCGAGCCGGAGGUUGCGGCCGUCGCCGAGGAAGCACCGGCUGCUGCGGAGGAGGCACCCGCGGCCGCGGCAGAGGAGCCGGCCGCCGCGGUGGCCAGCGUCAGCGUGUGA
rnacentral:rRNA from 1 species